rnacentral:rRNA from 1 species
AUUGAACGCUGGCGGCAUGCUUUACACAUGCAAGUCGAACGGUAACAGGCCGCAAGGUGCUGACGAGUGGCGAACGGGUGAGUAAUGCAUCGGAACGUGCCCAGUCGUGGGGGAUAACGCAGCGAAAGCUGCGCUAAUACCGCAUACGAUCUAUGGAUGAAAGCGGGGGACCGUAAGGCCACGCGCGAUUGGAGCGGCCGAUGUCAGAUUAGGUAGUUGGUGGGGUAAAGGCUCACCAAGCCAACGAUCUGUAGCUGGUCUGAGAGGACGACCAGCCACACUGGGACUGAGACACGGCCCAGACUCCUACGGGAGGCAGCAGUGGGGAAUUUUGGACAAUGGGCGCAAGCCUGAUCCAGCAAUGCCGCGUGCAGGAAGAAGGCCUUCGGGUUGUAAACUGCUUUUGUACGGAACGAAACGGUCUGGGUUAAUACCCUGGGCUAAUGACGGUACCGUAAGAAUAAGCACCGGCUAACUACGUGCCAGCAGCCGCGGUAAUAC